rnacentral:rRNA from 1 species
UACGAAUGGGGCAAGCGUUGUUCGGAAUCACUGGGCUUAAAGCGUGCGCAGGCGGUUUUGCAAGUCAGAAGUGAAAGCCCGGGGCUUAACCCCGGAAUUGCUUUUGAAACUGCAAAACUAGAAUAUGGGAGAGGUUAGCAGAAUUCCGAGUGUAGAGGUGAAAUUCGCAGAUAUUCGGAGGAAUACCAGUGGCGAAGGCGGCUAACUGGACCAUUAUUGACGCUCAGGCACGAAAGCGUGGGGAGCAAACAGG